GACGAACGCUGGCGGCGUGCUUAACACAUGCAAGUCGAACGCUGAAGCUCAGCUUUUGUUGGGUGGAUGAGUGGCGAACGGGUGAGUAACACGUGAGUAACCUGCCCCCUUCUUUGGGAUAACGCCCGGAAACGGGUGCUAAUACUGGAUAUUCACUGGUCUUCGCAUGGGGGUUGGUGGAAAGGGUUUUUCUGGUGGGGGAUGGGCUCGCGGCCUAUCAGCUUGUUGGUGGGGUGAUGGCCUACCAAGGCUUUGACGGGUAGCCGGCCUGAGAGGGUGACCGGUCACAUUGGGACUGAGAUACGGCCCGGACUCCUACGGGAGGCAGCAGUGGGGAAUAUUGCACAAUGGGCGCAAGCCUGAUGCAGCGACGCCGCGUGAGGGAUGGAGGCCUUCGGGUUGUGAACCUCUUUCGCUCAUGGUCAAGCCGCAACAAUGGUUGUGGUGAGGGUAGUGGGUAAAGAAGCGCCGGCUAACUACGUG
rnacentral:rRNA from 1 species